AUUGAACGCUGGCGGCAGGCCUAACACAUGCAAGUCGAACGGUAACAGGAAGAAGCUUGCUUCUUUGCUGACGAGUGGCGGACGGGUGAGUAAUGUCUGGGAAACUGCCUGAUGGAGGGGGAUAACUACUGGAAACGGUAGCUAAUACCGCAUAACGUCGCAAGACCAAAGAGGGGGACCUUCGGGCCUCUUGCCAUCGGAUGUGCCCAGAUGGGAUUAGCGAGUAGGUGGGGUAACGGCUCACCUAGGCGACGAUCCCUAGCUGGUCUGAGAGGAUGACAAGCCACACUGGAACUGAGACACGGUCCAGACUCCUACGGGAGGCAGCAGUGGGGAAUAUUGCACAAUGGGCGCAAGCCUGAUGCAGCCAUGCCGCGUGUAUGAAGAAGGCCUUCGGGUUGUAAAGUACUUUCAGCGGGGAGGAAGGGAGUAAAGUUAAUACCUUUGCUCAUUGACGUUACCCGCAGAAGAAGCACCGGCUAACUCCGUG
rnacentral:rRNA from 1 species